rnacentral:rRNA from 1 species
UACGGAGGGUGCGAGCGUUGUCCGGAAUCACUGGGCGUAAAGGGCGCGUAGGCGGCUUGGGAAGUCCGUGGUGAAAGCUCGUGGCUCAACUACGAGUCGGCCAUGGAUACUCCUAAGCUCGAGUCGACUAGAGGCUAAUGGAAUUCCGGGUGUAGCGGUGGAAUGCGUAGAGAUCCGGAAGAACACCGGUGGCGAAGGCGGUUAGCUGGGGUCGAACUGACGCUGAGGCGCGACAGCGUGGGGAGCAAACAGG